rnacentral:lncRNA from 1 species
CUAACCCUAAUCUGCUAGCCCAAAAAACACAAAGGGUAUAGCAGAAACCCUAGUAGCCGCCGCAGCAAUCUCACCCUCGCACGCCGCCGCAAAUGGCGCGCAUGCACUCCUCCAAGCAUGUACCUGCAAAAGGCAACAAGCAGUAUAGGCAAGAAAAUCGGAAAAUAACAAAUCAAGUAGAUAAUAGAAUGAUUUUUUCUCCUUGAUUUUAUUGUUUCAAUACGGCUAUAAAAAGCCAAUUAAAAUCUAUAAAAAAGAGGGAUUUUUUUCGACAUAGAGAGAAAUACAAAGAAAAAGAUUUAAAGUAGAGUUAAAAAAGAAGAAAAGUUGAAUACAAAGGUGAUUUUUUGUUUCAUUUGUCGAGGAGUUCAUCGUUUUUUUUGUUUUUUUAUUUUUUAUAUUCUUAUGCAUAAAAUAAAAGGUAAGAGAGAAAGAAAGCCUACCUUUUCGUCGGAGCCAUCGCUUUGCCACCAUCGCCGUCGUAGUCGGGGCUUUGGUACAGGGAAGGAGGGUGGCGGCACUCAAGGGGUUAAAAGAG